rnacentral:rRNA from 1 species
UACAGAGGUCUCAAGCGUUGCUCGGAAUCACUGGGCGUAAAGGGCGCGUAGGCGGGAUGGCAAGUCAGUCGUGAAAUCUCUCGGCUCAACCGAGAAACGUCGGCUGAUACUGCCGUUCUUGAGGGAUGCAGAGGAGACUGGAAUUCCCGGCGUAGCGGUGAAAUGUGUAGAGAUCGGGAGGAACACCGGUGGCGAAGGCGGGUCUCUGGGCAUUUCCUGACGCUGAGGCGCGAAAGCGUGGGGAGCAAACGGG